GUCAGGAUGGCCGAGCGGUCUAAGGCGCUGCGUUCAGGUCGCAGUCCACUUCUGUGGGCGUGGGUUGGAAUCCGACUUCUGACA